GACGAACGCUGGCGGCGUGCUUAACACAUGCAAGUCGAACGGAAAGGCCCUGCUUUUGUGGGGUGCUCGAGUGGCGAACGGGUGAGUAACACGUGAGUAACCUGCCCUUGACUUUGGGAUAACUUCAGGAAACUGGGGCUAAUACCGGAUAGGAGCUCCUGCUGCAUGGUGGGGGUUGGAAAGUUUCGGCGGUUGGGGAUGGACUCGCGGCUUAUCAGCUUGUUGGUGGGGUAGUGGCUUACCAAGGCUUUGACGGGUAGCCGGCCUGAGAGGGUGACCGGCCACAUGGGGACUGAGAUACGGCCCAGACUCCAACGGGAGGCAGCAGUGGAGAAUAGUACACAAUGGGCGGAAGCCUGAUGCAGCAACGCCGCGUGCGGGAGGACGGCCUUCGGUUUGUAUUCCGCUUUCGCCUGUGACGAAGCGAGAGUGACGGUAAUGGGUAAAGAAGCACCGGCUAACUACGUG
rnacentral:rRNA from 1 species